rnacentral:sRNA from 1 species
UAUCUUCUACACUUGAGUGGUGCAGUAUUCUAGUCAGAGCAUCUAAUUCUGAAGGCGGGGCUAAAAAUCCGUCAAAGGGCACAUCGAUGAAGUUCCUGGUAUUGGCUUCUGACGCCCAGUCAGGGGUUGAUGCUGGGAGUAAGGAAUAGGGGGCGAUCCACAAUGGCAUGUGGACGGCGACCCUCUUUCCGUGGAGACCUAAAUCUCGAAAGGGAUUAGGAUGAACCUGCAUGUGGUAGAUUUCUGCUACAUGCAGUGUAGCCUGCCUUGAGUGGAAUAGGUGGAUGAAUAGAUUCAGCUUUAAUAUUAUGGGCCCGUAAUAUUAAAGCAUUGCUAUUCUAAACCUAUUCUGCAAAAGAGGCUAGGAAUUAGUAUGCCUGUUGAGGAAAACUCCUAGACUGUUUCCACGUGAAGGUAUAUUAAGGAUUACAGUGCGGACUUAGUGGUAGUCUAGUCUUAUACUUGGCGACAGUAUAAAUAUGGGUUUAAAGGGAAACCGCUGAUCUGGCAACAGAACAGUACCCAUAUGGGAAAUCCUACUAGACCUAAGCCGCAAAGUUUACUUAAUAUACUACCCUCAAGUGUUAGUAUACU